UAGGGAAUCUUCGGCAAUGGACGAAAGUCUGACCGAGCAACGCCGCGUGAGUGAAGAAGGUUUUCGGAUCGUAAAACUCUGUUGUCAGAGAAGAACAAGGACGUUAGUAACUGAACGUCCCCUGACGGUAUCUAACCAGAAAGCCACGGCUAACUACGUGCCAGCAGCCGCGGUAAUACGUAGGUGGCAAGCGUUGUCCGGAUUUAUUGGGCGUAAAGCGAGCGCAGGCGGUUUCUUAAGUCUGAUGUGAAAGCCCCCGACUCAACCGGGGAGGGUCAUUGGAAACUGGGAGACUUGAGUGCAGAAGAGGGGAGUGGAAUUCCAUGUGUAGCGGUGAAAUGCGUAGAUAUAUGGAGGAACACCAGUGGCGAAGGCGGCUCUCUGGUCUGUAACUGACGCUGAGGCUCGAAAGCGUGGGGAGCAAACAGG
rnacentral:rRNA from 1 species